rnacentral:rRNA from 1 species
UACGGAGGGGGCUAGCGUUGUUCGGAUUCACUGGGCGUAAAGGGUGCGUAGGUGGUGAGGUAAGUCGGAUGUGAAAUCUCCGGGCUCAACCCGGAAAUGGCAUUGGAAACUACCUUGCUGGAGGAUUUGAGGGGGGAUUGGAAUACUUGGUGUAGCAGUGAAAUGCGUAGAUAUCUGUUAGAACACCAAUGGCGAAGGCAGUUGCCUGGCCCGUUACUGACGCUAAAGCACGAAAGUGUGGGUAGCAAACAGG